GCCCUCAUAGUUUAACGGAUAGAAUGCUGGCCUCCGGAGCCGGUGAUCGGAGUUCGAAUCUCCGUGAGGGCG
rnacentral:tRNA from 1 species